AGCGAACGCUGGCGGCAGGCCUAACACAUGCAAGUCGAACGAACCCUUCGGGGUUAGUGGUGGACGGGUGAGUAACACGUGGGAACGUGCCUUUAGGUUCGGAAUAACUCAGGGAAACUUGUGCUAAUACCGAAUGUGCCCUUCGGGGGAAAGAUUUAUCGCCUUUAGAGCGGCCCGCGUCUGAUUAGCUAGUUGGUGAGGUAAAGGCUCACCAAGGCUACGAUCAGUAGCUGGUCUGAGAGGAUGACCAGCCACAUUGGGACUGAGACACGGCCCAAACUCCUACGGGAGGCAGCAGUGGGGAAUCUUGCGCAAUGGGCGAAAGCCUGACGCAGCCAUGCCGCGUGAAUGAUGAAGGUCUUAGGAUUGUAAAAUUCUUUCACCGGGGACGAUAAUGACGGUACCCGGAGAAGAAGCCCCGGCUAACUUCGUGCCAGCCGCCGCAGUAAGAC
rnacentral:rRNA from 1 species